rnacentral:tRNA from 1 species
GCUUGUAUGGCGCAGUAGGUAGCGCAACUCAUUCGUAAUGAGUAGGUCAUCGGUUCGAAUCCGAUUACAAGCU